ensembl:misc_RNA 7SK 7SK RNA
GGAAGUGACGGUGAUCUGGCUGUAGUAUCUGUCACCUUACUGAUCACUAAGGUUGAUUCAGCUGAUCUGGCUGGCUAGGCAGGUGUCCCCUUCCUCCCUCACUGCUCCCGGUACAUCCCGCCUGAAGCUGCACACUCAGCUGAAGAGGAUGAGGCACCCCCCGCUAAUGGAGGACCUUUUCCUUGGUCAAGGGAAUAUGAGUAGUUGCGCUCCCCUGCUAGAACCUCCAAACUCUCCAGAUACAGGAGAUGGUAAUAAGUAGCCCCACUCUCAGAGAUCAUACAUGAAGCAU